rnacentral:rRNA from 1 species
GACGAACGCUGGCGGCGUGCCUAAUACAUGCAAGUCGAGCGGGCCUCCGGAGGUGCUUGCACCUCCGGAAGGCCAGCGGCGGACGGGUGAGCAACACGUGGGCAACCUGCCUUUGAGGCCGGGAUAACACCGGGAAACCGGUGCUAAUACCGGAUACGUCCUCUUUCGCGCCUGCGAGAGGGGAGAAAGACGGUCUUUAAGGCCGUCGCGCAAAGAGGGGCCCGCGGCGCAUUAGCUGGUUGGUGGGGUAAGGGCCUACCAAGGCGACGAUGCGUUGCCGACCUGAGAGGGUGAUCGGCCACACUGGGACUGAGACACGGCCCAGACUCCUGCGGGAGGCAGCAGUAGGGAAUCAUCCGCAAUGGGCGAAAGCCUGACGGUGCAACGCCGCGUGAGUGAGGAAGGUUUUCGGAUCGUAAAGCUCUGUUGUGAGGGAAGAACAGCUUCCGGAGGAAAUGCCGGAGGUUUGCCGGUACCUCACCAGAAAGCCCCGGCUGACUACGUGCCAGCAGCCGCCGUAA